CAGCCGCCGCGGGAAUACGUAGGGUGCGAGCGUUAAUCGGAAUUACUGGGCGUAAAGCGUGCGCAGGCGGUUCGUUAAGACAGAUGUGAAAUCCCCGGGCUUAACCUGGGAACUGCAUUUGUGACUGACGGGCUAGAGUAUGGCAGAGGGGGGUAGAAUUCCACGUGUAGCAGUGAAAUGCGUAGAGAUGUGGAGGAAUACCGAUGGCGAAGGCAGCCCCCUGGGCCAAUACUGACGCUCAUGCACGAAAGCGUGGGGAGCAAACAGGAUUAGAUACCCCCGUAGUCCCUGUCUCUUAUAA
rnacentral:rRNA from 1 species